rnacentral:misc_RNA from 1 species
UCAGAAAACUAAGUUUUAGAAAAAGGUCGCAUUUGAUCAAGUUCUGGUUGGGUUGUAACCAUAUUGAGACUAACAUGGGGUUGUGGUAACAGCCCAUGACUUUGUCUUCCUGCACAUGCACCUUCUGCUCUAAAUAUUAAGAUGGAAAUCGGCGUACUUGAAUAAGGGUUUUCAAAAGCGUCAUCACAGGGGUAAACACUUAAUUACUCAUGGAGUAAAUCAGGGAAGUAUGUACUAUAUUGUUAUUUAUGUCAAAUAAAUAUUAAUAUUGUUGAUAUUUGUAUACAGAGUGUAACAUUUCUAUCACUGACAUUCGUAUUUGUAUAUAAAAUCAUUGCUUUUCUUAAUAAAGUCUUUACACGC